rnacentral:rRNA from 1 species
CAGUAGCCACGGUAAUACGGAGGGAGCUAGCGUUGUUCGGAAUUACUGGGCGUAAAGCGCACGUAGGCGGCUUUGUAAGUCAGAGGUGAAAGCCUGGAGCUCAACUCCAGAACUGCCUUUGAGACUGCAUCGCUUGAAUCCAGGAGAGGUGAGUGGAAUUCCGAGUGUAGAGGUGAAAUUCGUAGAUAUUCGGAAGAACACCAGUGGCGAAGGCGGCUCACUGGACUGGUAUUGACGCUGAGGUGCGAAAGCGUGGGGAGCAAACAGGAUUAGAGACCCGGGUAGUCCCUGUCUCUUAUAC